UAACACAUUGCCUACCUGGGUAACAUUU
rnacentral:piRNA from 1 species